rnacentral:rRNA from 1 species
UACGGGAGGCAGCAGGGGGGAAUAUUGCACAAUGGGCGCAAGCCUGAUGCAGCCAUGCCGCGUGUAUGAAAAAGGCCUUCGGGUUUGUAAAGUCUUUCAGUCGUGAGAGGUGUUAGGUUAUACCUAGCAAUUGACGUUAGCGACAGAAGAAGCACCGGCUAACUCCGUGCCAGCAGCCGCGGUAAUACGGAGGGUGCGAGCGUUAAUCGGAAUUACUGGGCGUAAAGGGCACGCAGGCGGUUAAUUAAGUUGGAUGUGAAAUCCCCGGGCUUAACCUGGGAAUGGCAUUCAAGACUGGUUAGCUAGAGUCUUGUAGAGGGGGUAGAAUUCCAUGUGUAGCGGUGAAAUGCGUAGAGAUGUGGAGGAAUACCGGUGGCGAAAGGCGGCCCCUGGACAAAGACUGACGCUCAUGUGCGAAAGCGUGGGGAGCAAACAGGGAUUAGGAUACC